UACGUAGGGGGCGAGCGUUGUCCGGAUUCAUUGGGCGUAAAGAGCGUGUAGGCGGCCAAGCAGGUCCGCUGUGAAAAACUCGAGGCUCAACCUCGAGACGUCGGUGGAAACCGUUUGGCUAGAGUCCGGAAGAGGAGAGUGGAAUUCCCGGUGUAGCGGUGAAAUGCGCAGAUAUCGGGAAGAACACCCGUGGCGAAGGCGGCUCUCUGGGACGGUACUGACGCUGAGACGCGAAAGCGUGGGGGAGCAAACGGG
rnacentral:rRNA from 1 species